rnacentral:rRNA from 1 species
UACGUAGGUGGCAAGCGUUAUCCGGAUUUAUUGGGCGUAAAGCGAACGCAGGCGGUCUUUUAAGUCUGAUGUGAAAGCCUUCGGCUUAACCGGAGUAGUGCAUUGGAAACUGGGAGACUUGAGUGCAGAAGAGGAGAGUGGAACUCCAUGUGUAGCGGUGAAAUGCGUAGAUAUAUGGAAGAACACCAGUGGCGAAAGCGGCUCUCUGGUCUGUAACUGACGCUGAGGUUCGAAAGCGUGGGUAGCAAACAGG